GAUGAACGCUGGCGGCGUGCCUAACAUAUGCAAGUCGAGCGAUUCUCUUCGGAGAAGAGCGGCGGACGGGUGAGUAACGCGUGGGUAACCUGCCCUGUACACACGGAUAACAUACCGAAAGGUAUGCUAAUACGAGAUAAUAUACUUUUAUCGCAUGGUAGAAGUAUCAAAGCUCCGGCGGUACAGGAUGGACCCGCGUCUGAUUAGCUAGUUGGUAAGGUAACGGCUUACCAAGGCGACGAUCAGUAGCCGACCUGAGAGGGUGAUCGGCCACCUUGGAGCUGAGACACGUUCCAAACUCCUACGGGAGGCAGCAGUGGGGAAUAUUGCACAAUGGGCGAAAGCCUGAUGCAGCAACGCCGCGUGAGUGAUGAAGGCCUUCGGGUCGUAAAGCUCUGUCCUCAAGGAAGAUAAUGACGGUACUUGAGGAGGAAGCCCCGGCUAACUACGUGCCAGCCGCCGCCGUAA
rnacentral:rRNA from 1 species